UAGCGCCCGUCUGGAGCGAAGGACACGGCAGUAAUAGGGCCUUUAUGUCCAUGGAUGUGCUGAAGGAGAAGGAAAGAUAAAGGGAGCAGCAUAUUGACGUUCUGUAAAAUGCUAUCUCGUCGGCUGAAUCUGGGUAGCAGGUGUUUUCCAGUGGCUGGGCUCGGCUGGACAAAUGGACGGGGCGAUGGUCCGGAUUUUAAAAUGUAUGUCUGUAUUAUCAGAGGGUUACAAAGUGCCCGGUGUGCUGUGUGCCUCCAGCUCUGAAAACCACAGCCCACAACACUGUACUGUCUUCCGUGCAGUGAAACCCCCUCUGUUAAAAUUUUGCAUUUUGGCACUUUUUUAUGCAUUUCAACAGACAACACCCUUAAAAAAAGGAGUUUCCUUGCAAGGUAAAUGCAAGGUCUUUCGACUUCUCUCAGUAUAAGGCAAAGCAUUUUCAGAAGUUUCAAGAAAUGUAAAAAAUAUGAAUGAAUGAAUGAAGCACAGAUGAAACGUUGCAGCCAAUUGCGCACAGCAUACUCACAACCGGAAAUAACCAUCUACCUGAAGGAUUGCAUCCAGCACUGAGGAGAGCUGACCCAACACAGGGUGCCAAUCCAUAUCUGGGCACACAGUCAUACACACUAUCGCACCAGGACUAUUUAGAAUAGCCAUGUUUUUGGACUGCCACAAGGAGAACCCAGAGAGGGACUUGAACCCAAGACCCCACCAGCGCUGAGAGACAAACAUGCCAACCACUAAGCCACCAUGAAGCCACAAAAAAAAUAUGGUGUACUAGGAGCUGGCUCUGAAUUAUAUCCAUAAAAAGCAAGUUCUUUCAGGCUUUUUUUCACACAACGAACAAAACAAACUAUUGUAACAUGCGAUUGUGAAACUUUUAUACAAUGCCAUUAUCUUUAAUGCACCCACGUCCACUCUCAUCACCAACACACACACUCAUAUCAGUGCUGUCACACAACACUCCCGACAACAUAAUUACAGAGUCGGACUAAUAAACGUCAUGAAUCUGUCAAAUCAACAAACGCUGCGCCAUUCGAGAUGCAAUCGCACGACUACGAAGAUACGAAGAGAUUCAGUGUUUCAUCAGAUCAGUCAGAGACAUGUUUGUCAACUCUGCUCUCGGGGGUCCAGAGUCCUUCCUCAGCCGUAAUGCAAUCAGCCCUCCUGCCUGUCAGCCUAAAAACGCUCCAAAACAGCCUGAUAAUAAAAGGGGGAUGAGAUUAGGCUCCUCGCACCCCGCCGAGAGACGAGAGGGGGAAAGUAAUCUCUGACAAUUAAAGCCCAAAUGAAAUGAAACCUCCAUCAUCUCGACCUCGUGGUGAGAAAAUCACAUUUAUUUGGUGUUGUUUUGGAGCGCUGACGGAAUCGGGCGAACGUGAGCGAGUAGAGGCAGAUAUUGCCCUGUCACAUCAGUACAGACUGAAGUACGAGACGCUGGGAUUUUUUUGCGUGACUUAAAAAUCAAUAAACUGUGAUUUCAUAUGAUGUUUUCCACCCCCACGAGAAGAGUGGGCCUGUUUUUGGGUUGCGGAGGGUCCGGCGGGCCCGAGCUGGAUGUAGCGGGUCAGAUUCUACUGAAAACGGGAUCAAUCUGUCCAUCCGGGAGCAGCAGAGCGAGGAAAAACCAUUUAAGGCGCAGCAGCCUGAUCUACUGUCCAGCCUGAGGGUUCCCCUGAAUAACGUCCCUCUGAGAGACAUCCCAAACCCCAUACACCCGAGACUGAGGACUCUACAGCGGUGGACUUAAAUAUAUAAUCGUGAGGACAACU